UACGUAGGUGGCAAGCGUUGUCCGGAUUUACUGGGCGUAAAGAGCUCGUAGGCGGUCUGUCGCGUCGGAUGUGAAAGCCCGGGGCUUAACCCCGGGUCUGCAUUCGAUACGGGCAGACUAGAGUGUGGUAAGGGAGAUCGGAAUUCCUGGUGUAGCGGUGAAAUGCGCAGAUAUCAGGAGGAACACCGGUGGCGAAGGCGGAUCUCUGGGCCAUUACUGACGCUGAGGAGCGAAAGCGUGGGGAGCGAACAGG
rnacentral:rRNA from 1 species